AGUGAACGCUGGCGGUAGGCCUAACACAUGCAAGUCGAACGGCAGCACAGUAAGAGCUUGCUCUUACGGGUGGCGAGUGGCGGACGGGUGAGGAAUACAUCGGAAUCUACUUUUUCGUGGGGGAUAACGUAGGGAAACUUACGCUAAUACCGCAUACGACCUACGGGUGAAAGCAGGGGAUCUUCGGACCUUGCGCGAUUGAAUGAGCCGAUGUCGGAUUAGCUAGUUGGCGGGGUAAAGGCCCACCAAGGCGACGAUCCGUAGCUGGUCUGAGAGGAUGAUCAGCCACACUGGAACUGAGCCACGGUCCAGACUCCUACGGGAGGCAGCAGUGGGGAAUAUUGGACAAUGGGCGCAAGCCUGAUCCAACCAUACCGCGUGGGUGAAGAAGGCCUUCGGGUUGUAAAGCCCUUUUGUUGGGAAAGAAAAGCAGCAGGUUAAUACCCCGCUGUUCUGACGGUACCCAAAGAAUAAGCACCGGCUAACUUCGUG
rnacentral:rRNA from 1 species